rnacentral:rRNA from 1 species
AGAGUUUGAUCAUGGCUCAGAACGAACGCUGGCGGCAGGCUUAACACAUGCAAGUCGAGCGAGGCGAAGAGACUUCGGUCUCCAAGCUUAGCGGCGGACGGGUGAGUAACACGUGGGAACGUGCCCUUCAGUACGGAAUAGCCUAGGGAAACCCGGAGUAAUACCGUAUACGCCCUACGGGGGAAAGAUUUAUCGCUGAAGGAUCGGCCCGCGUCCGAUUAGGUAGUUGGUGAGGUAAUGGCUCACCAAGCCGACGAUCAGUAGCUGGUUUGAGAGGAUGAUCAGCCACACUGGGACUGAGACACGGCCCAGACUUCUACGGAAGGCAGCAGUGGGGAAUCUUGGACAAUGGGGGAAACCCUGAUCCAGCCAUGCCGCGUGAGUGAAGAAGGCCUUAGGGUUGUAAAGCUCUUUCAACGGUGAAGAUAAUGACGGUAGCCGUAGAAGAAGCCCCGGCUAACUCCGUGCCAGCAGCCGCGGUAAUACGGAGGGGGCUAGCGUUGUUCGGAAUUACUGGGCGUAAAGCGCGCGUAGGCGGACUAGCAAGUCAGGGGUGAAAUCCCGGAGCUCAACUCCGGAACUGCCCUUGAUACUGCUAUGUCUGGAGUUCUGGAGAGGUGAGUGGAAUUCCGAGUGUAGAGGUGAAAUUCGUAGAUAUUCGGAGGAACACCAGCGGCGAAAGCGGCUUCACUGGCCAGAUACUGACGCUGAGGCGCGACAGGCGUGGGUAGCCAACAGGAUUCAGAUCGCCUGGUAGUCCACG